rnacentral:rRNA from 1 species
UACGUAGGAUCCAAGCGUUGUCCGGAUUUACUGGGUGUAAAGGGUGCGCAGGCGGGCUGGCAAGUCAGGGAGUGAAAUCUCGGCGCUCAACGCCGAAACGUCUUUUGAUACUGCCAGUCUUGAAUAAGCGAGAGAUCCGUGGAAUUCCGAGUGUAGCAGUGAAAUGUGUAGAUAUUCGGAAGAACACCAGAGGCGAAGGCAGCGGGUUGGCGCUUUAUUGACGCGUCAGGCACGAAAGCAUGGGGAUCAAACAGG